UACGUAGGGUGCAAGCGUUGUCCGGAAUUAUUGGGCGUAAAGAGCUCGUAGGCGGUCUGUCGCGUCUGCUGUGAAAACUCGGGGCUUAACUCCGGGUCUGCAUUCGAUACGGGCAGGCUAGAGUGUGGUAGGGGAGAUCGGAAUUCCUGGUGUAGCGGUGAAAUGCGCAGAUAUCAGGAGGAACACCGGUGGCGAAGGCGGAUCUCUGGGCCAUUACUGACGCUGAGGAGCGAAAGCGUGGGGAGCGAACAGG
rnacentral:rRNA from 1 species